AGAGUUUGAUCCUGGCUCAGAUUGAACGCUGGCGGCAUGCUUUACACAUGCAAGUCGGACGGCAGCACAGAGAAGCUUGCUUCUUGGGUGGCGAGUGGCGAACGGGUGAGUAACAUAUCGGAACGUACCGAGCAGUGGGGGAUAACUAAUCGAAAGAUUAGCUAAUACCGCAUAUAUUCUGAGGAAGAAAGCAGGGGACCAUUUGGCCUUGCGCUGUUUGAGCGGCCGAUAUCUGAUUAGCUAGUUGGUGGGGUAAAGGCCUACCAAGGCGACGAUCAGUAGCGGGUCUGAGAGGAUGAUCCGCCACACUGGGACUGAGACACGGCCCAGACUCCUACGGGAGGCAGCAGUGGGGAAUAUUGCACAAUGGGCGCAAGCCUGAUGCAGCGACGCCGCGUGGGGGAUGACGGCCUUCGGGUUGUAAACUCCUUUCGUUAGGGACGAAGCCGCACCUUUUUUGGGUGUGGUGACGGUACCUUUGUUAAGAAGCACCGGCUAACUACGUGCCAGCAGCCGCGGUAAUACGUAGGGUGCGAGCGUUGUCCGGAAUUACUGGGCGUAAAGAGCUCGUAGGUGGUUUGUUGCGUCGUCUGUGAAAUUCCGGGGCUUAACUUCGGGGUGGCAGGCGAUACGGGCAUAACUAGAGUGCUGUAGGGGAGACUGGAAUUCCUGGUGUAGCGGUGGAAUGCGCAGAUAUCAGGAGGAACACCGAUGGCGAAGGCAGGUCACUGGGCUGUUACUGACGCUGAGGAGCGAAAGCGUGGGGAGCGAACAGGAUUAGAUACCCUGGUAGUCCACGCCGUAAACGAUGAGUGCUAGGUGUUAGACCCUUUCCGGGGUUUAGUGCCGCAGCUAACGCAUUAAGCACUCCGCCUGGGGAGUACGACCGCAAGGUUGAAACUCAAAGGAAUUGACGGGGACCCGCACAAGCGGUGGAGCAUGUGGUUUAAUUCGAAGCAACGCGAAGAACCUUACCAAGUCUUGACAUACUGUGAGGACACAAGAGAUUGUGUUGUUCUGACCUUUGGUUAGACACAGAUACAGGUGGUGCAUGGUUGUCGUCAGCUCGUGUCGUGAGAUGUUGGGUUAAGUCCCGCAACGAGCGCAACCCUUGUCAUUAGUUGCCAUCAUUAAGUUGGGCACUCUAAUGAGACUGCCGGUGACAAGCCGGAGGAAGGUGGGGAUGACGUCAAGUCCUCAUGGCCCUUAUGACCAGGGCUUCACACGUCAUACAAUGGUCGGUACAGAGGGUAGCCAAGCCGCGAGGUGGAGCCAAUCUCACAAAACCGAUCGUAGUCCGGAUUGCACUCUGCAACUCGAGUGCAUGAAGUCGGAAUCGCUAGUAAUCGCAGGUCAGCAUACUGCGGUGAAUACGUUCCCGGGUCUUGUACACACCGCCCGUCACACCAUGGGAGUGGGGGAUACCAGAAGUAGGUAGGGUAACCGCAAGGAGCCCGCUUACCACGGUAUGCUUCAUGACUGGGGUGAAGUCGUAACAAGGUAGCCGUAGGGGAACCUGCGGCUG
rnacentral:rRNA from 1 species